AGAGAUGGCUUCGUGCUCGAAAGAGAGCCGUAACACAGGUGCUGCAUGGCUGUCGUCAGCUCGUGUCGUGAGAUGUUGGGUUAAGUCCCGCAACGAGCGCAACCCUUGUCAUUAGUUGCUACGAAAGGGCACUCUAAUGAGACUGCCGGUGACAAACCGGAGGAAGGUGGGGAUGACGUCAAGUCCUCAUGGCCCUUAUAGUGGGGCUACACACGUCAUACAAUGGCUGGUACAAAGGGUUGCCAACCCGCGAGGGGGAGCCAAUCCCAUAAAGCCAGUCGUAGUCCGGAUCGCAGUCUGCAACUCGACUGCGUGAAGUCGGAAUCGCUAGUAAUCGUGGAUCAGCAUGUCACGGUGAAUACGUUCCCGGGUCUU
rnacentral:rRNA from 1 species